UAUCUACUACCUCCGUCCGAAAAUACUUGUCAUCAAAACAAUAAAAGGAAAUGUAUCUAGAUGUAUAUUAGUUGUAGAUACAUCCUUUUUUAUCCAUUUUGAUGACAAGUAUUUCCGGACGGAGAGAAUACUUG
rfam:Triticum aestivum genome assembly, contig: Triticum_aestivum_CS42_TGACv1_scaffold_093386_2AL